rnacentral:rRNA from 1 species
GACGAAUGCUGGCGGCGUGCUUAACACAUGCAAGUCGAACGGAAAGGCCCUGCUUUUGUGGGGUGCUCGAGUGGCGAACGGGUGAGUAACACGUGAGUAACCUGCCCUUGACUUUGGGAUAACUUCAGGAAACUGGGGCUAAUACCGGGUAGGAGCUCCUGCUGCAUGGUGGGGGUUGGAAAGUUUCGGCGGUUGGGGAUGGACUCGCGGCUUAUCAGCUUGUUGGUGGGGUAGUGGCUUACCAAGGCUUUGACGGGUAGCCGGCCUGAGAGGGUGACCGGCCACAUUGGGACUGAGAUACGGCCCAGACUCCUACGGGAGGCAGCAGUGGGGAAUAUUGCACAAUGGGCGGAAGCCUGAUGCAGCAACGCCGCGUGCGGGAUGACGGCCUUCGGGUUGUAAACCGCUUUCGCCUGUGACGAAGCGUGAGUGACGGUAAUGGAUAAAGAAGCACCGGCUAACUACGUG